GGUGAACGCUGGCGGCGUGCUUAAGACAUGCAAGUCGAACGGCAGUCUUCGGACUGUAGUGGCGCACGGGUGAGUAACGCGUAACUGACCUACCCCAAAGUCGCGGAUAACGAUUCGAAAGAAUCGCUAAUACGUGAUGUGCUGUCAGAUUGUGUUCUGCCAGUAAAGAUUGAUUGCUUUGGGAUGGGGUUGCGUUCCAUCAGCUAGUUGGUGGGGUAAAGGCCCACCAAGGCGACGACGGAUAGCCGGCCUGAGAGGGUGGCCGGCCACAGGGGCACUGAGACACGGGUCCCACUCCUACGGGAGGCAGCAGUAAGGAAUAUUGGUCAAUGGACGCAAGUCUGAACCAGCCAUGCCGCGUGAAGGAUUAAGGUCCUCUGGAUUGUAAACUUCUUUUAUUUGGGACGAAAAAGGGCCUUUCUAGGUCAACUGACGGUACCAGAUGAAUAAGCACCGGCUAACUCCGUGCCAGCCGCCGCCGUAACAC
rnacentral:rRNA from 1 species